rnacentral:lncRNA from 12 species
GUUUCUCUCAUUCAAGUUUAACCAAAGCUAAAUAAUUUCUACCUGAGGGCAGAUAUAUUCCCUCCACAGCUCUUCAGCAUAAUUACUCAGAUUGGCACAGGAGGAUCAGGGAUAGAUUGUAACUGUGGUUUUUCUGUUCUCCAGAUGUAAACAACUGCUACCACCAGAAAAUAGCCCAACCUCAUUGAAAUGGUGAAAGGGACCUCAACAUAUUCUUUAUAUUUGCUUCCUAAUCAUCAAACUGUCCCAGGAUACUUAUAUCUCAACAUUGAGUCAAAGUUAGCACACCAGGUCUUCCUGU